GUCUCUUCAGGGUCAUCCAAAAAAAGUGGAGCGAUCAGAGAGAAGAUUAGCAUGCCCCUAAGUCCCCUACGCUAGGAUGAUACGCACGAAUCGUGAAAUGGUCCAAUUUCUU
rfam:Nicotiana sylvestris Nsyl_contig168679, whole genome shotgun sequence.